GGAGAUCCCGCCCCGCUGCCGCCUCGGAUUGCUGGCGGGCGAAUAAAAACGACCCGGGAAUCCAGACGCUCUUCCAGAGUGAGAGGCCGAGAGCAAUAUAUUGUUCCGGGAUGAAGGAGGGAAGGUAUGUGGGGAGAAAACCUAUUACUUGGGCAAAUGCUUCGGCCUGCAGAAGACACUUUGGAUUCCUCACACCAAAAAUGUAAUCUAAUAAAUCGUUAAAGAAAUUAA